AUGCCAUGAUGAUGGCACUUUCAUAAUAACUCAUUGAACUGCUCUCAUGCCUCAUAUAAAGAUUCUUCGUCAAGUUGCUGAAAUGAAGUGAUUUCAUUUUGGAUCUU
rfam:Gossypium raimondii chromosome 13, whole genome shotgun sequence.